AGCAAAGCCCGCCUUCGCGGGCUA
rfam:Cyanothece sp. PCC 7424, complete genome.